GUACUUUUAAAAUAUUUAACUUGUUGAGUUUGACUUAACCAUCCUGCAAAGGAAAGCAGGGCGAGGUUAAUCAGAAAUAGCUGAAGCCUAGCAAGAACCCUGCCCUCUCAGUGCCUCCACCAAGCCAUGGGUUACAGAGAGAGGAGUCAUGCAUGAAAUUGCCUGGGUCUAAAAGCAGGUCCAGGUUGCAAAGUCUGAAAGGUAAGAAAGGUUCAGACCAGGUAAAACAGACCUAGUAACCCAGGGUUGACAAAGCCCCAUUCAGAUGCUAUGAAGUUACUUACAGAAGAGUGUUGGCAAGGCAAGGAGAGCUGACAUGUUCAGAGUAGAGUUUACCACUAUGAAAAAGCAACCCCCUCAAAAACCUCAGAAUAACAU
rnacentral:lncRNA from 1 species